UAUAUUCCUGUUAUCUCAUAGACGUAUUUAGGUAGGUACAUACGUAAUUAGGUAGUUACUAUCAAAUUAAAUGAAUAAUAGAGCUAUUAAUACGUGACCUAUUAUCACCAACAGCAGACAAAAUACACAGAACUACGUAAACAGAGUGGUCCCAAAGUUCUCAUUAACAUUCUUAAAGUAUAUUAGACCUUAUAAAACAGGUCUCCAGAAAACAAACUCUUGCGCAGCGCGACUCUGCAAACAAGAUGGCGGCGAUAACGGCGGCCAUCUUGUGGUAUCGAGGUUAUGAGGCUGUAAAUUCAAAUUAUGAUUUUAUAGCACCGUUGACUUAGUCAUUGUGUAAUUGUUUAAAGCAGGAGUUGCGACCAUGCACGUGGGAAUGAGAAUUUUUUUUCCAAAGAAAGUAGCAGGCAAAAGUCCAUGAAACUACGAUUUCGCGAAGCCAACUAUCUAAAAUUAGUAUUCAACAUAGAUAAAACUGUUGUCUUUGGUAGAAAAACAGGCUAAUCCCGGCGCGGAGUGAGACGACGAACAAAUUUGCUGUAUCAACAAUCAACCGGCACCUAACAUCGGCAGAAGGGGCAGACUCAAAAAGCGCGGGCUUGAUAUCGCCCAAGGAGGAUGUCACCGUGACCGUGUGAAGCAAGGGUGAAGUGAUGAUGAAAAAGUGGUCUCUGGGCUUCUUCGCUUAAUAGCUACAGGACUUCUUGAUAAAGUGUUUACUAACACUGCCGUCAGAUUGUAUAAGGCGCCUAAAGUCUGUCAUGAUGGUCAUGACUUUUAUGACCACCGUCAUCUAGCGACAGUAAUACCGUAUGCGCUUUUGAAUAUGAAAAAAUAUAUAAG